CCUUCAGCUCAAUCGGGCCGAUCUUGCUAUUUCCAGCAUGAUCUUUUCCGAAAACCGGUGCCACCCUCGGGUCGAGCCCGAGGGCAUGCUUUUCGGGAUCAUGCCAUGACCACUUCCACUUCGAUCAGCCGCGGACCCUUUUCGCGCACCGAGUUGGUCAGCGCGUUUGAAAAAUCCUCGGCGGUGGUGACCGACUGAGCGGGCACGCCCAUGCCUUUCGCCAGCGAC
rnacentral:misc_RNA from 1 species